rnacentral:rRNA from 1 species
CCUACGGGGGGCAGCAGUGGGGGAUAUUGGGCAAUGGGCGCAAGCCUGACCCAGCAACGCCGCGUGAAGGAAGAAGGCUUUCGGGUUGUAAACUUCUUUUCGCAGGGACGAAGAAAGUGACGGUACCUGAGGAAUAAGCCACGGCUAACUACGUGCCAGCAGCCGCGGUAAUACGUAGGUGGCAAGCGUUAUCCGGAUUUACUGGGUGUAAAGGGCGUGUAGGCGGGACUGCAAGUCAGAUGUGAAAACCACGGGACCAACCUGUGGCCUGCAUUUGAAACUGUAGGUCUUGAGUACUGGAGAGGCAGACGGAAUUCCUGGGGGAGCGGUGAAAUGCGUAGAUAUUAGGAGGAACACCAGUGGCGAAGGCGGUCUGCUGGACAGCAACUGACGCUGAGGCGCGAAAGCGUGGGGAGCAAACAGGAUUAGAUACCCUUGUAGUC